AUAAGCACAGAAGGAGCUUUGCUCCUUGGGUGACGAGUGGCGGACGGGUGAGUAAUGUCUGGGAAACUGCCCGAUGGAGGGGGAUAACUACUGGAAACGGUAGCUAAUACCGCAUAACGUCGCAAGACCAAAGAGGGGGACCUUCGGGCCUCUUGCCAUCGGAUGUGCCCAGAUGGGAUUAGCUAGUAGGUGGGGUAACGGCUCACCUAGGCGACGAUCCCUAGCUGGUCUGAGAGGAUGACCAGCCACACUGGAACUGAGACACGGUCCAGACUCCUACGGGAGGCAGCAGUGGGGAAUAUUGCACAAUGGGCGCAAGCCUGAUGCAGCCAUGCCGCGUGUAUGAAGAAGGCCUUCGGGUUGUAAAGUACUUUCAUCGAGGAGAAAGGUGUUUUUUUUAA
rnacentral:rRNA from 1 species